rnacentral:tRNA from 1 species
GCUGUGACUCAGUGGUAGAGUGCUUGCCUAGAAUGUAAGGCCCUGGGUUUGAUUCUCAGCACUGCA